rnacentral:rRNA from 1 species
UACGUAGGGACCAAGCGUUGUUCGGAUUUACUGGGCGUAAAGGGCGCGUAGGCGGCAAUUCAAGUCAUCUGUGAAAUCUCCGGGCUUAACUCGGAACGGUCAGAUGAUACUGCUUUGCUAGAGUGCGGGAAGGGGCAAUCGGAAUUCUUGGUGUAGCGGUGAAAUGCGCAGAUAUCAGGAGGAACACCGGUGGCGAAGGCGGGUCUCUGGGCAGUAACUGACGCUGAGGAGCGAAAGCGUGGGGAGCGAACAGG